UCUCUCUGAAUCUGCGAACGGCUCCGCAAACCAGUUGUAAACUAUAGCAAGCAAUCCGGGGGGUCGCCGUUAAAAAGCGGCCCUCCGGUAAUAAGGAUAACCAUGGUAAUUCUGAGGCUAAUACAAGAACGUAACCCCCGGACGACCCGCGAGGGAAAGCCGGGAGACGUACGAGUUUUACGCGAGGAGUUAUCGGGAAAGAACGUACGUCUGGACCGCGCCAAAGACGGAUGGAUCCCAUCAACCCUCACGGGUCGGGGUUCGCCCGAGCGGCUCUUGCAAUGCGCUUCUGACCUAUCAACUAGAUGGCAGCGUAAGGGACAUGCUAUGGUGACAACGGGUACAGAGGAUUAGGGUUCGAUCCUGGAGAGUGGGCCUGAGAGAUU
rnacentral:rRNA from 1 species